CAGUGACUCAAACAUCAAAGCCAAAUGCAAGGAGCUUUGCAAGUAAGUGUCUAUUUCUUUGAGAGUUGAGACAGAACAGAAGGGAGUCCUCUUGCUAAUUGCAAGUUUGAUUACUUUAUCAUUUUCAAACUUAAGCUGGAAAAAGUUUAAUUGCUCAUUGCAAGUUUUCUAAAGAUGUUCUUUUUUCCCGCUUAAUUUUCUUUUUUAUGUUUCAAAAAAUAAACUUAAGCUGGAAAAAAAAAACACAUCUUUAGAAAACUGAUUAUUAUUCUGUUUGUUUGAAAUUUAAGUUAAAUUUAAUUGAAGUAAUUUUGACAAAACUUUCCUGAUUUAUCAUAUGUAAAGUGAAAAACAAAUGGUAAAAUAUACUGUCAAAUCCUUUUUAGCCUCUAUCCCCUGUUGUAUGAGUACAAGUAGAUCCUAAAUCACACUAUUUGAAACAGAUCGAAGCUCCUUAACACAAUUGACUUCACUGACUGCAGGUGAAGGCUUUCAAGUUACAUGAUUAACUUUUGGUAUUCCAAGGUACGUGGCAAAAAAGGAGGAACUGAAAGAUAGUUUCAAGAGGUACACAAUUAAUUUCACCUUGACUCUGCAAUGAGAAAUGGUGAUAAUGUUUUCGCAUUGGACUAUCAUAAAAAUAGCCCAACAACAAGUAGAACAUAAUGCAAUCAACUAAACGUAACUUGUCGGUGUUUGUCAGGACACAACUUAGGUGAGAGCAAACAUUUGCCUUCCCCAAGGCCCCCGCUUGAGGGGCAACCUUUAUACUAAUUUAAUUGUAUAGUGAUCAGGGGAAUGCUCACACUCUCAAAUGGUAUACGUGGUUGCGUUAUACUCCCAUUCCAAAUUUUGUUAUUGAUUUCCUGUUUUUACUAAGAAAUACAGCCAUCUUUGGACACAUCAAUGAAACCCAUUGCCAUGUAUAUCAAGUUGCCAAAUAUAAUUCUGUACACGCUUGAUUUCGUCAGGGAAGCUAGUGAUAACAAUGACUACCUUUUUGUUAGAGAAGCACCAUCUCAUUUUCACCUUUUUCACAUUAGCCUUGAAAAUAUCUUGAAGAUGUUUUUUUUUCAGCUUAAUUUAUUUUAUUUAGUUUCGAAACAAUAAACUUAAGCUGGGAAAAACCCACAUCUAAAUCAGUCAUUAUACGAAAUGACUGAUUUUUCAUAUGUAAAGUGAAAAACAAAAUGGUAAAACAUACUGUCAAAUAAUUUUUAGCCUUUAUCCCCUGUUAUACGAGUACAAGUAGAUCCUAAAUCACACUAUUUGAAGUAGAUCAAAAGACAAUUGACUUCACUGACUGCAGGUGAAGUCUUUCAAGUUACAUGAUUAGCUUUUGGCAUUUCAAGGGACAUGGCAAAAAAAGAAGAAACUGAAAGAUAGUUUCAAGAGCCAUCUUUGUAUACAUCAAAUGGUGACUUUUCAUUUCAUACUCAGAGACCUGAUUGGGUAUGUCUCUACUCCUCUUCUAUGUUUUCCUGAUUGGCUAUGCCUUUCACUUAUCUCAGCAUACUCAGAGACCUGAUUGGGUAUGUCUCUCUCCUCUUCUUUGUUUUUCUGAUUGGCUAUGCCUUUCACUUAUCUCAGUUUCAUGCCUCGUCCUCUGUUGCUAUUCAUUCGAAUUAUGCCUUUACUAGUUAUUCCUAUGGAUAAUCAUGAGUUCUUUAAACUGUCAGGGGAUGUAUUGUUUGAAGUAUAAGAAAUUUUAGUGUCUGUAUAAAUUUUUGCAUUACUUGUACAACAUUCGUUUUUUGUAUAGAACCUGCAUAACUAAUAUGAUCUCCGUAUAAUUAAUACAUCAUUUGGCAUCUGGUCUUAUACGUCGGAUAACUUGAACUCUACACAAGUUACACAAAAUUUUCACCAAAAAUUAGAUGUUGUAUUGCUAUUUUUGCUAUAACUUAUAUUGAUUCCUCCCCUCUCUUUCUGUUUUCUAGAUUGCUAAAAGAGCUGGAUUUUGAAGAUCAGUCUGGAGAGUUGCCGAUGAUUACGAGAUUGUAAUGGGAUUGCUUCUAUUUACUUCAGUUGUUUUACUAUCAUACUUUAGUCCGCCGUAAUCUGGAUUCCAAACCCGGAUGUUGUUUAACCAGCAAUUCAGCGGAGAUCUCCUAAUUGUUUGUAUUCUUUGUGGAUAUAUAGCUGAGAUCUCAUUCUUCUCUAAAUAAAGGACUAAAUUUGCAAGCUUGAAAAAUUCUUCAAUACUGACAU